UUUAUUGUAAGCAGUAGGCUACUGUACAAUCAAUAGACACUGACAUGUCAUAAGCCCCUAUCUCUCUCUCAAUGUAAUGCAGUCAAAUUGAAGUCAUCCAAAUCAAUAAGGGAGGAAGAUCAAACAUCUCAGACGUCACAGGGCAGGUAAUAAGUUUCUUUUGCACAAUUUAUGAAAAAGUUCUAUGUAGUAAAUUUUUUAAUCUACAGUCAUUUAAUAGCAAAUGUUAAAUAAUACUGUUUUCUAUGUUUUAGUGUUCAAAAUGGAAUGAUAAACUGGCUCUCCAAUGGUUUCGCAAGUGCAUUGCCUCAACCUGCAGGAAGUCCUCUUCUCUCCAGGGCCAACUCUGAUGCUAAAUCAAUGCAUGAGGAAGGUUCUGCAGACAGGACUGGUGUUAUAAAUUGGAUCUCCCAGGGAAUUGGAAAGGUCGUCCCUCAGCCUGAUGAGAAAUACAGAAAGGGAGAGACUCCAGAAUGUCAAGAAGUCACAGAGGU